rnacentral:rRNA from 1 species
UACAGAGGGUGCGAGCGUUCGUCCGGAAUCAGCUAGGGGCGUAAAGGGCGCGUAGGCGGCUUAUAAGCGUGCGGUGAAAGCCCCGGGGCUCAACCCCCGGGUCGGCCGUGCGAACUGUCGAGCUGGGAGCACUGUAGAGGCAGGUGGAAUUCCGGGUGUAGCGGUGGAAUGCGUAGAGAUCCGGAAGAACACCGGUGGCGAAGGCGGCCUGCUGGGCAGUGGCUGACGCUGAGGCGCGACAGCGUGGGGAGCAAACAGG